rnacentral:rRNA from 1 species
CCCGUCAAUUUAUUUGAGUUUUAACCUUGCGGCCGUACUCCCCAGGSGGUCGAUUUAACGCGUUASUCCGGAAGCCACGCCUCAAGGGCACAACCUCCAAAUCGACAUCGUUUACAGCGUGGACUACCAGGGUAUCUAAUCCUGUUUGCUCCCCACGCUUUCGCACCUGAGCGUCAGUCUUUGUCCAGGGGGCCGCCUUCGCCACCGGUAUUCCUCCAGAUCUCUACGCAUUUCACCGCUACACCUGGRAUUCUACCCCCCUCUACAAGACUCUAGCUUACCAGUUUCAAAUGCAGUUCCCACGUUAAGCGCGGGGAUUUCACAUCUGACUUAACAAACCGCCUGCGUGCGCUUUACGCCCAGUAAUUCCGAUUAACGCUUGCACCCUCCGUAUUACUGCGGCUGCUGGCACA